UCACCUCCGCAGGCUGGUUGGCCCCGGGCUGGGCUGGGCGAUAUCUCUUCCAAAGGCUCACCCUCAAGCACAACUAGUAGC
rnacentral:pre_miRNA from 1 species